rnacentral:rRNA from 1 species
GAUGAACGCUGGCGGCGUGCUUAACACAUGCAAGUCGAACGGUGAAGCAGGAGCUUGCUCUUGUGGAUCGGUGGCGAACGGGUGAGUAACACGUGAGCAACCUGCCCCUGACUCUGGGAUAGGCGCUGGAAACGGCGUCUAAUACUGGAUAUGUGAUGUGACCGCAUGGUCUGCAUCUGGAAAGAAUUUCGGUUGGGGAUGGGCUCGCGGCCUAUCAGCUUGUUGGUGAGGUAAUGGCUCACCAAGGCGUCGACGGGUAGCCGGCCUGAGAGGGUGGCCGGCCACACUGGGACUGAGACACGGCCCAGACUCCUACGGGAGGCAGCAGUGGGGAAUAUUGCACAAUGGGCGGAAGCCUGAUGCAGCAACGCCGCGUGAGGGUUGACGGCCUUCGGGUUGUAAACCUCUUUUAGCAGGGAAGAAGCGAAAGUGACGGUACCUGCAGAAAAAGCACCGGCUAACUACGUGCCAGCCGCCGCCGUAA